UUUAUUGGAGAGUUUGAUCCUGGCUCAGGACGAACGCUGGCGGCGUGCUUAACACAUGCAAGUCGAACGAGACGAGUUUUCAACACUGAAUGCUUAAUGAUGUAUCUUUUUGAGCGUCGUGAUGGCGAAGCCAUCACCACACUUAUAAUAAGUGAUUAACUUAGGGAUGCAGGAUGAUUGAGCAUUGAGUGUUGAAAAUGAGUCGAGUGGCAAACGGGUGAGUAACGCGUAGACAACCUGCCGCAAAGAUGGGGACAACAGU
rnacentral:rRNA from 1 species